rnacentral:rRNA from 1 species
UACAGAGGGUGCAAGCGUUACUCGGAAUUACUGGGCGUAAAGCGUGCGCAGACGGUUGCGUAAGUCAGAUGUGAAAUCCCCGGGCUCAACCUGGGAACUGCAUUUGUGACUGCAUCGCUGGAGUACGGCAGAGGGGGAUGGAAUUCCGCGUGUAGCAGUGAAAUGCGUAGAUAUGCGGAGGAACACCGAUGGCGAAGGCAAUCCCCUGGGCCUGUACUGACGCUCAUGCACGAAAGCGUGGGGAGCAAACAGG